rnacentral:tRNA from 1 species
UCCUCGGUAGCUCAAUUGGCAGAGCAAUCGGCUGUUAGCCGAUAGGUGCUUGGUUCGAGUCCAAUCCGGGGAG